UUUAGCUUAUGAUUCCACAAGGAUGAGUCCUUCAGGAAUAUGAAGGCGUGGAAACCGGAAGGGGCAGGAAGCUGAUUGACCACACUUUGACCACAUAUGGGAAGCAGAAGGGUGACCAGAGCUUGUGAUGUCGGCAACAAAGGAACAUUACCAUAUAGAUGGACAAGCAAACACAGAAGCUAUUGCCUGUAUUAUUUGACUGCUGCUUAGAAGACAGUACAUAGCCUUCUGGCCGCCUUCCGAUCAAGUUGCAGAACUCUCAGCCUCUCCCCUUGCCAUGACUGUCUGGAUGCUGCCAUGCUUCCUGCCUUGAUGAUGAUGGACUGAGCCUUUGCAUCUGUAAGUCAACCCCAAUUAAAUGUUGUCCCGUAUGAGUUGCCUUGGUCAUGGUGUCUCUUCACAGCAAUGUAAACCCUAACUAAGACAACAAAUAAAUCAAUAAAAAGAUUAUUUUUAGAACAAUCUUCAAAAAGUCAUCCAAGUGAGGCAUCAUGACACAUGCCUAUAAUCCCAGCAUUCCUGAGAGUGAGGCCAGAGCAUCACAAUGAGUUUAUACCAGGCUGGCCUCGAACUCAGAAAUCUGCCUGCCUCUGCCUCCCAGAGUGCUGGGAUUACAAGUGUGUGCCACCACUGCCCGGUGUUCCUUCCAUUCCUAAUCCUCAGAAUGUUCCACUGAGACUCCCAUGUCCCUCUGACCAGGUCUUGUGGUGCUAGGAAUGAAACCUCUGACCACUGAGCUAUAAACUCUGGUCCUCUAGAAAAGCCAUGACAUCACCAUUGCAUUAGUAAAGGAAGCACAAUAUCUGGAGGCAGGAUGCAAUUCAAAACUGGCCUUCCUGACCUGGGCGUGACCUUCAGCAAGUCUCUUAAAAGUUUGUAGUUGAAACAGGGUCUUACGGUGUAGUGAGUCUAGGUUGGAAUUCACAGAAGUCCAUCUUUGCUAGGACUAAAGGUGUGUGCCACCAUGUCUGUCUAGAUUUUUGACAGCUUUUAAUUUGUCCUUAUCCAUUCAUGUGAUGAUUAUGAGAAAGUACCUCAUAUACAUUGCAUGCUCAUCAAGUGUGUGCUGCGAUGAGAAAUUGCUGAGGGAAUUGAACUCAGCAAGAAGUUCCCUUUGAUGUCUAAGGCGCUAACUCAGUUUUUAGCUCACUGAGACCAGAGAACAUGCCUUACCCUCAGUUUGUUCAAACACCAAAGCCCUAGGAAGAAGCAUUUGCUUGGUCAGCAAUUAUUAAUGAAGUGAGUACAAAGGUUAAAAUACCACCAAUUGUUUGUUUGUUUGUUUGUCUGUUUUUGAGACAGAGUUUCUCUGUGUAGCCCUGGUUGUCCUAUGUCUCAGAGAUGCCCCUGUCUCUGCCUCCCCAGUGCUGGGAGUAAAGAUAUGUGUCACCAUGCCUGGUAAAAGACCACAAAUUUUCAUGGCAUCUGUUACUUUGUUUUGCUUGUGCAUUGUCUCCAUUUGGUGAAAUAGAUGUGAUCGCAGCCUGAGUUCCUCUCUGGUAGGCAGUCACUCUGGGAGGUAAAGAAGGCAGACUUCUCCUCAAACCAAUUAUUUCCAGUUUUUUAUGUUUUGUUUGGCUUUUUUUCCUGCUUUUGGUUUUUUGAGACAGGGUUUCUCUGUAUAGCCCUGGCUGUCCUGGAACUCAGUCUUUAGACCAGGCUGACCUCAAACUCAGAAAUCUGCCUGCCUCUGCCUCCCAAGUGCUGGGACUUUUGUUUCGUUUUUAAGGUGGGAUCUUACCCUUUGACUGGACUGUGUCUCAUCCUGCUUCAGGCUCCUGCAGGCCACGUUCUGGAAUUUCUAGCAUUCGUCACUUAACUAACAAGUCUGCUUACUCAGUGUCAUGAGGGUCCAACAUCAGAAUAGCGAUAGCUUGUGCCUUUCCAUGAUGUCAGAAUCUAAUGGCUAGCAACAAACAGAUAUGCUACCUUGUUUUUCUUGGCUGUAAUUUGUCAAGUAAUCCCAAUUUCCCUUGAUAGCCAUUUAGGACAAACCCAAGUUCCUUUACCCCAAUUUUACCUAUUCGUAUCAAUCUUACCUGGUCAUAUGUUACACGCUAUACAGUAAAUGCAUCUUUAUGUGCGUUUAUAUAGGAAUCGUUAAACAGGUACAAAGGGUUAAAGAGGCUGAAGCAGAAUUCAAGGGCCUCUACAGAGGCAGCAGGAAGUCUACAGGAAUGUGAAGAGAGUCUGGAGAGGGACUGGAUAAUGGAUCCUGCCGGAGGUCUCCAGAGGUGCCUGUGCCACGUCACACUCACUCAGCCUUAGGGUUGAGUCCAGCUGCAGGGCCAUGGAGGUCAUAGAGGCAAAGGGCUGGACCAAGUCCACACGGCCAAACAGGAAGACAAAUGGACAGCAACCCAUCCACAGCAGAAACUAAGCCUAAAUCCUGUCACUUGAGGGAUGUCCAAAAUCCUGCAGACUCUAGAUUGGGCAUACAGGUUCAUUUUACUUCUGAAAAUGUCGGCAACAGUGGAAGGCAUAGCAUAACAUCAACAUGAUUAUUAUUAGCAUUUACCCCUGAGCUGCAACCCUAGCCCGAAUAUUAAGGGAAAUGCCUAAGAGAAGGCCGAUAGAAUACACCCAAGGGCCCAUCAUGGGCUUCCCAGGACAGUGGUAUUGUUAGGACUUAGGGAGAGAAGGUCAACUCAUGAGUUAAGCUGGCAGUGGGGAGUUUCAGGAAGUAACUAGUUUUUAGAACUAGGAUCCAAUCCCCUUUUCUUUCCUACUAUGGGUUUUUCCAAAUGUGUCAUGGAGUCCAGUCUAUGGGAAAAACAGGCGAUUUGGCAAGAGAAAUUAUAUGCUAUGUAGCUUACCUCAAAAAGAUUUUGCAAUCUCUUUUCUCUUGUUUUGUUUAUAUACAGCCCUGGCUGGCCUGGAACUUGCUAUGUAGACCAGGCUUGCCUGUUCCUGAACUUCAAGUGAUCCUCCUGCCUCUGCAUCCUGAAAUCUCCUGUGAUCCCCAGCUGGUCUUGUCCUCCAGAUCUUUCUCCCCGCUACCUCACCAGCUCAAGGAUUACAGGUGUUCACAGAAGUCUGAGAGGGUGUGGAAUCCCCUGGAGCUGAAGUAACAGUGAGGCUGUCACGUAGGAGAAAUCGUGUCACAAGGAAUACGAGGCCUCAGCAGAUGAGAAGUGUGUCAUCUCCAUGACCACGGACGGCAUUGGCAGGAAUGCAUGACGUCACUUUUUUUUU